UAAAGGUAUUCCGGUAGACGAUGGGGAUGCGUUCCAUUAGAUAGUAGGCGGGGUAACGGCCCACCUAGUCUUCGAUGGAUAGGGGUUCUGAGAGGAAGGUCCCCCACAUUGGAACUGAGACACGGUCCAAACUCCUACGGGAGGCAGCAGUGAGGAAUAUUGGUCAAUGGGCGCAGGCCUGAACCAGCCAAGUAGCGUGAAGGAUGACUGCCCUAUGGGUUGUAAACUUCUUUUAUAAAGGAAUAAAGUCGGGUAUGGAUACCCGUUUGCAUGUACUUUAUGAAUAAGGAUCGGCUAACUCCGUGCCAGCAGCCGCGGUAAUACGGAGGAUCCGAGCGUUAUCCGGAUUUAUUGGGUUUAAAGGGAGCGUAGAUGGAUGUUUAAGUCAGUUGUGAAAGUUUGCGGCUCAACCGUAAAAUUGCAGUUGAUACUGGAUAUCUUGAGUGCAGUUGAGGCAGGCGGAAUUCGUGGUGUAGCGGUGAAAUGCUUAGAUAUCACGAAGAACUCCGAUUGCGAAGGCAGCCUGCUAAGCUGCAACUGACAUUGAGGCUCGAAAGUGUGGGUAUCAAACAGGAUUAGAUACCCUGGUAGUCCACACGGUAAACGAUGAAUACUCGCUGUUUGCGAUAUACGGCAAGCGGCCA
rnacentral:rRNA from 1 species